rnacentral:rRNA from 1 species
AUUGAACGCUGGCGGCAUGCUUUACACAUGCAAGUCGAACGGCAGCGCGGGCUUCGGCCUGGCGGCGAGUGGCGAACGGGUGAGUAAUACAUCGGAACGUGCCCAGUAGUGGGGGAUAGCUCGGCGAAAGCCGGAUUAAUACCGCAUACGACCUGAGGGUGAAAGCGGGGGAUCUUCGGACCUCGCGCUCUUGGAGCGGCCGAUGGCAGAUUAGCUAGUUGGUGGGGUAAAGGCCUACCAAGGCGACGAUCUGUAGCUGGUCUGAGAGGACGACCAGCCACACUGGAACUGAGACGCGGCCCAGACUCCUGCGGGAGGCAGCAGUGGGGAAUUUUGGACAAUGGGCGAAAGCCUUAUCCAGCAAUGCCGCGUGUGUGAUGAAGGCCUUCGGGUUGUAAAGCACUUUUGGCGGGAACGAAAAGGACUGUGCCAAUACCACGGUUGGAUGACGGUACCCGCAGAAUAAGCACCGGCUAACUACGUG